CAGUGUGAGGUAGUAGAUUGUAUAGUUGUAGGGUAGUGAUUUUGCCCUGUUUGGAAGAUAACUAUACAAUCUAUUGCCUUCCCUGAGG
rnacentral:pre_miRNA from 1 species